CCCUUAGAUGUUCUGGGCCGCACGCGCGCUACACUGACAGGGUCUGCGAGUGCUCCUGCGUCGAAAGGCGUGGGUAAUCUUUGAACGUGCAUCGUGCUGGGGAUAGAUGAUUGCAAUUAUUCAUCUUCAACGAGGAAUUCCUAGUAAACGCAAGUCAUCAGCUUGCAUUGAUUACGUCCCUGCCCUUUGUACACACCGCCCGUCGCACCUGCCGAUUGAAUGGUCCGGUGAAAUUCUCGGACGCGGACUUGCGAUGUUAAUUCGGAGCUUGACUGUGAAAGUUAAUUAAACCUUACCAUUUAGAGGAAGGUGAAGUCGUAACA
rnacentral:rRNA from 1 species